rnacentral:rRNA from 1 species
AGAGAUGUGUGAUGACGCAUAUCAAUAAGCGGAGGAAAAGAAACUAACAAGGAUUCCCUUAGUAACGGCGAGUGAAGCGGGAAGAGCUCAAACUUGAAAUCUUCAAGGUUCUACCUUGACGAAUUGUAGUUUAUAGAAGUGUUUUCUGUUAGUAGAGUGGCAAAAGUUCUUUGGAAUAGGACAUCAUAGAGGGUGAGAAUCCCGUAUUUGGUCAUUCUUUCUAGCUUUGUGAUACACUUUCAACGAGUCGGAUUGUUUGGGAAUGCAGUCCAAAAUGGGUGGUAAAUUUCAUCUAAAGCUAAAUAUUGGCGAGAGACCGAUAGCGAACAAGUACCGUGAGGGAAAGAUGAAAAGAACUUUGAAAAGAGAGUUAAACAGUACGUGAAAUUGUCAAAAGGGAAGCGUUUGACACCAGUGUUGUUUUUCCGAAAAUCAAUUACGAAUGUUUUAUUUUUGAGAAGUUAUGACUUCAUCGGCUUGCUUCUCUCUUUAUGAAACUUUCUUAAUGCACUUUUCGGUUAACAAGUCAACAUCAAUUUCUUUUGUUGUAAAAGGGUAUGAGGAAGGUGGCUUUCUUUUCGGAGAAAGUGUUUAUAGCCUUGUACCUCUGCAAUCGGAGAGAUUGAGGUCUGCAGCGUAGAUCCUUCGGGGUUAGAUACAUUUGUGCUAAGCUAUAGUUCUUUAUAGACAACUUGUUGACUAUGCUCAGUCAUGUAGCUUACUCGCUUAUGCUAUUUUACCUACGCUUAGGAUGUUGAAGAUGUAGCACAUCAU